AAGGACAGCUCUGUCCUCACCAGUGGAUGUUCAGGACUGACAGAAGCAGAUGGAGGCCCACACUAGGACAUCAUUUCCCCAAAGAUGUCACCUGGGACUGUGGAAAAGCCUGAGUUCUCUAAGAGAAGAAAAGGAGAAGGGAGCAGGACACAGCAAGCUGGGGCGCACCCAGGGGUAAGAGGAGAGACGGUGUGCUCUGGUCAUCAGGAUGGCCUUCCCAGGUGUGUGGAGGAGGCAGGUGCGCCGAGCCCAGUGCUGCACGGGGGUCAGAGGGCCUGAGGCCGAGAGAGAGGAACAAACAGCGGCAGAACUGGAAGGGAGCCAGACCAACAGGGCUUCAAGAGUGGCUUGCUGGGGGCUGGCAAGGCAGCCUUGGCGGAGUGCACCUGUGAACUUUCUCAGAAACAGGAGUGGCACAAGUAGGAGGAGGAGGAGGCGGGGACAAAGGGAGGGUUCUUUUAAGAAUGGGGAGGUCUGAGCAGAGGAAAGGAGUGUCAACACACGAACAGAUUGCAUGGGACAACAUCAGGAGGUGCAGAAGAAGGGACUGAGCAAAGAGGUCCCUGAGCCCACAUGCUUCUCUGGGUGCAGGGGGAAAAAAGAAUGGGUGAGAAGACUGAGAAAGGAGGAAAAACAUGGACGGCUGAGAAGGCCAGCAGGAUUCUGCCAAGAUUCCCUGUAAUCUCUCCAGUAAAUAAGAGGACGCUCUGCCCCGCGGCGGGCUGAACCUGAAGGAGGAGCCGCUGCUGCCCGCCGGCCUGGGCUCGGUGCGCUCCUGGAUGCAGGGCGCGGGCAUCCUGGACGCCAGCACCGCGGCGCAGAGUGGCGUGGGCCUGGCACGAGCACAUUUUGAGAAGCAGCCCCCCUCCAACCUCAGGAAAUCCAACUUCUUCCACUUCGUGCUGGCCAUGUAUGACCGGCAGGGGCAGCCGGUGGAGGUGGAGCGUACAGCUUUCAUCGACUUUGUGGAGAAGGACCGAGAGCCCGGGGCUGAAAAGACAAACAACGGGGUCCAUUAUCGCCUCCGGCUGGUAUAUAACAACGGACUUCGGACAGAACAGGACCUCUAUGUGCGUCUCAUCGACUCCGUGUCCAAGCAGGCCAUCAUCUACGAGGGGCAGGACAAGAACCCCGAAAUGUGCCGCGUGCUACUCACCCACGAGAUCAUGUGCAGCCGGUGCUGUGACCGGAAGAGCUGUGGCAACCGGAAUGAGACACCCUCAGACCCCGUCAUCAUUGACAGGUUCUUCCUCAAGUUCUUCCUCAAAUGCAACCAGAACUGCCUAAAGAACGCGGGGAAUCCCCGAGACAUGCGCCGCUUCCAGGUGGUGGUAUCCACAACGGUGAGCGUGGAUGGACACGUGCUGGCCGUGUCCGACAACAUGUUUGUGCACAACAACUCCAAGCAUGGCCGCAGGGCGCGCCGCCUGGACCCCUCCGAAGCUGCCACCCCCUGCAUCAAGGCCAUCAGUCCUGGGGAGGGCUGGACCACGGGCGGCGCCACCGUCAUUGUCAUCGGCGACAACUUCUUCGACGGGUUGCAGGUCGUGUUUGGGAACGUGCUCGUGUGGAGUGAGCUCAUCACGCCCCACGCCAUACGGGUGCAGACGCCCCCACGGCACAUCCCUGGGGUGGUGGAGGUGACCCUGUCCUACAAGUCCAAGCAAUUUUGCAAGGGAGCCCCCGGCCGCUUUGUCUACACAGCCCUGAAUGAGCCCACCAUUGACUACGGAUUCCAGAGGCUACAGAAAGUCAUUCCCAGACACCCCGGAGACCCCGAGAGGCUGCCCAAGGAAGUGCUGCUGAAGCGGGCGGCCGACUUGGCGGAGGCCCUGUACGGAGUGCCCGGCGGCAACCAGGAGCUCCUCCUGAAGCGCGCAGCAGACGUGGCCGAGGCUCUGUACAGCGCCCCCCGCGCGCCCGCGCCGCUCGGGCCCCUGGCCCCCAGCCACCCGCACCCCGCCGUCGUGGGCAUCAACGCCUUCAGCAGCCCGCUGGCCAUUGCCGUCGGGGACGCCACGCCAGGGCCGGAGCCGGGCUACGCGCGCAGCUGCGGCAGUGCGUCCCCCCGCGGGUUCGCGCCCAGCCCGGGCUCGCAGCAGAGUGGCUACGGCGGCGGCCUCGGAGCUGGCCUCGGCGGCUACGGGGCGCCGGGCGUGGCUGGCCUCGGUGUGCCCGCGUCCCCCAGCUUCCUCAAUGGCUCCACGGCCACAUCGCCCUUCGCCAUCAUGCCCUCUAGCCCCCCGCUGGCCACUGCCUCCUCUAUGUCCCUCCCGGCGGCUGCCCCCACCACCAGCGUCUUCUCCUUCUCGCCUGUCAACAUGAUCUCCGCUGUCAAACAGAGGAGUGCUUUCGCCCCCGUGCUGCGCCCACCCAGCUCCCCAGCCCAGGCCUGCCCCAGAGCCCAUGGAGAGGGGCUUCCAGGUGAGUGCUCCGUGCUGCCUCGCUGGAACCUGGCAGAGCAGCUGGGCCUGCGCAGCCCACUCCAUCCACAUCUCACAAGAGCUUCAAGCCAGGUGACCAGUUCUCCCUGGGGGUUGCAGAGGAGGGAGCUCCACAGGGGUUCAAGGAGGUCCAUCUGGACCCCACUUCCCUGGGCCUCAUAGCUUGGUACGGUCUCACUCUGGACCAUCAAGGAGACAAGAAUACCAGUUGGAGAAGGUCUGGAAACCACUUCGAGGCCUCAUCCAGUUGAGCCCAGAGUAAAGACCCAACAUGCAGAGCUGGAAAAACCCCACCGUGGGCUGCGUGCCUUUGACAUGUACCUCCCUAUGUCCACUGGAGGAUAGCAUACACCACUGUGAGAGACCAGGUCACUUGCUGGAUGGAGGGGGACUGACCUUAGAUAAGGUUUAGCCCAGCUUCUCCUUCCCCAUUUUACAGAUAGGGAAUUGAGACCAGGUCACCCCUCCUGCAGCCCAUUAGUGAAAUGAUUGUUAUUUGCCAUUUAUCAAUCUCCUCCAAGUCAACAUCCAACUUAAAGCCUGGGUUCUGACCAGUAGUGUAUAUAGCAAGUCAAAAAGAGUUGCAUCCCUUAGAAUAAGAUGAUUCUUGGGGUGGGCUUGUUAGGUGAUGCUCUAGGAUAACUCAAAGUGGAACACAGUUAUAUUUAGCCUUGUUUCCAAGUUUUGGAUAAUUUUUCUUAAACUAAGUGUGUCUGGAUCUUAAAAUGCAGGGAAUAGGAAGGACAGAAGGCCACCAGUUUCUCCUGCAGCAAACCAUGGGAAGGGGGUUAGAAAGAGGCAAGGGUUAUGGAAGUGAUGAAUUUCGUGGGGGUGUGGGAGGAAGACAUGCUGCUACCGCUGCAUUAGGUAUCUGUACUCCUGGAGGCUGACCUCUUCCCUUUGCUGUCCUGAUACAUGGCCGUCUGCUUCCUCACCUUGAGACAGGCCCUCUGAAGGAGACAGGCUGGGAAGAAGAGCCCAGAGUCAUGUCUCUCGAUUGAAGAAACUAGGAGGUCAAGGGCUUGGGGCUGUACCUCCUAAGAGGUCUGGGGGGCACACCUCACCUAACUGUCUGCAGUGCUGGGCCUAGGCUAGGACUGGGGGUGGCUGACUACCUUCAAGGCUCUUGAUAGUUCUGCCCUCAAAAAGUGCCAUAUGUCCUGCAUGCUGCCCCCAGUCGAGAGGGGCACAGGCUACACAUGGCUUAUGGCUCCCCUGCUUGGUUACUGCAGACCAGCCUUUUGAAGAUUCUGACAAGUUCCACUCUCCAGCUCGGGGGCUUCAGGGCCUGGCGUACUCCUAAUUAUGGUCUACAGGUGUCCCCACUGAGCCCGGACUAGUGGUCCCUCCAGG